UACGAAGGGGGCGAGCGUUGUUCGGAUUUACUGGGCGUAAAGGGCGCGCAGGCGGUUCUGUUUGUCGAGUGUGAAAGCCCCGGGCUCAACCUGGGAACUGCGCUCGAAACGGCGGAACUAGAGUUCGGGAGAGGAGAGUGGAAUUCCCAGUGUAGAGGUGAAAUUCGUAGAUAUUGGGAAGAACACCGGUGGCGAAGGCGGUUCUCUGGGCAUUACCUGACGCUGAGGAGCGAAAGUGUGGGGAGCGAACAGG
rnacentral:rRNA from 1 species